CAGGAACAUUAACCUCGUCUUGAGUGCGGAGAGGCGUUGGUCUAGCUGUAGGUCUUUCACCGGUUUUCAAGCCUUUAGUUUUUCUUUUAGUCAAGAUGAGUAAUAAGCCAGACUUGUCUGAAGUGGAGAAGUUUGGUCAAAACUGAAGAAAACUAACACUAAAGAAAAAAAUACUCUCCCUUCAAAGGAAACUAUCCAACAAGAGAAAGAGUGUGUUCAAACAUCAUAAAAUGUGGAUCUCCUCCCAACAGAAAAUUUCAACAUUGCUUUAGUGUCUUAGUUUGGGGCUUGUUUUUUGUAAACUUAUGUGUUUGUAGCUAUUUUAGGCAUCUUCUGAUGUCUUCCCAUCCAUAUCCCAUAGCCAAGAGGUCAGGGGAAGCCAGUGUUCCCUUUUUUUAAACUUUCCAUUGGUACAUACAUUCCAGUUGGCAGAUGCUGUUAAUAAUCUUACCAUUGAUGACAUUUCUGUGUGUAGUCCUUGCACCCCCAAAGGUUAAACCACUUUUAACUUUCUAUAGUGGCUGUAUUUGUUGUUCCAUAAUAUUCAUGAAGUGGCAUACAUUUGCACCUUCUCAGUUUAUUUUCAUU